AACGAACGCUGGCGGCGUGCCUAACACAUGCAAGUCGAACGUGAAAGUCCUUCGGGAUGAGUAAAGUGGCGCACGGGUGAGUAACACGUAGGUGACCUGCCUUUUAGAGGGGAAUAACCAGAAGAAAUUUUGGCUAAUGCCGCAUACGAAGCACGGUUUUAAGACUGUGCUUGAAAGAAUGCCUCUGUAUAUGCAUUCACUAAAAGAUGGGCCUUCGGAACAUUAGCUAGUUGGUGGGGUAAAGGCCUACCAAGGCAACGAUGUUUAUCCGGUCUGAGAUGAUGAUCGGACACACUGGAACUGAGACACGGUCCAGACUCCUACGGGAGGCAGCAGUGGGGAAUAUUGCGCAAUGGGGGAAACCCUGACGCAGCAACGCCGCGUGAGUGAGGAAGGACUUCGGUCUGUAAAGCUCUGUUAAUGUGGAAAAAUGGUAGUUGGUCUAAUAGGCCGAUUAUUUGAUGGUACACAUAGAGGAAGCACCGGCUAACUUCGUGCCAGCCGCCGCGGUAA
rnacentral:rRNA from 1 species